rnacentral:rRNA from 1 species
AAAUUGAAGAGUUCGAUCAUGGCUCAGAUUGAACGCUGGCGGCAGGCCUAACACAUGCAAGUCGAGCGGUAGCACAGAGAGCUUGCUCUCGGGUGACGAGCGGCGGACGGGUGAGUAAUGUCUGGGAAACUGCCUGAUGGAGGGGGAUAACUACUGGAAACGGUAGCUAAUACCGCAUAAUGUCGCAAGACCAAAGUGGGGGACCUUCGGGCCUCAUGCCAUCAGAUGUGCCCAGAUGGGAUUAGCUUGUAGGUGGGGUAACGGCUCACCUAGGCGACGAUCCCUAGCUGGUCUGAGAGGAUGACCAGCCACACUGGAACUGAGACACGGUCCAGACUCCUACGGGAGGCAGCAGUGGGGAAUAUUGCACAAUGGGCGCAAGCCUGAUGCAGCCAUGCCGCGUGUGUGAAGAAGGCCUUCGGGUUGUAAAGCACUUUCAGCGGGGAGGAAGGCGGUGAGGUUAAUAACCUCAUCGAUUGACGUUACCCGCAGAAGAAGCACCGGCUAACUCCGUGCCAGCAGCCGCGGUAAUACGGAGGGUGCAAGCGUUAAUCGGAAUUACUGGGCGUAAAGCGCACGCAGGCGGUCUGUCAAGUCGGAUGUGAAAUCCCCGGGCUCAACCUGGGAACUGCAUUCGAAACUGGCAGGCUAGAGUCUUGUAGAGGGGGGUAGAAUUCCAGGUGUAGCGGUGAAAUGCGUAGAGAUCUGGAGGAAUACCGGUGGCGAAGGCGGCCCCCUGGACAAAGACUGACGCUCAGGUGCGAAAGCGUGGGGAGCAAACAGGAUUAGAUACCCUGGUAGUCCACGCCGUAAACGAUGUCGAUUUGGAGGUUGUGCCCUUGAGGCGUGGCUUCCGGAGCUAACGCGUUAAAUCGACCGCCUGGGGAGUACGGCCGCAAGGUUAAAACUCAAAUGAAUUGACGGGGGCCCGCACAAGCGGUGGAGCAUGUGGUUUAAUUCGAUGCAACGCGAAGAACCUUACCUGGUCUUGACAUCCACAGAACUUAGCAGAGAUGCUUUGGUGCCUUCGGGAACUGUGAGACAGGUGCUGCAUGGCUGUCGUCAGCUCGUGUUGUGAAAUGUUGGGUUAAGUCCCGCAACGAGCGCAACCCUUAUCCUUUGUUGCCAGCGGUCCGGCCGGGAACUCAAAGGAGACUGCCAGUGAUAAACUGGAGGAAGGUGGGGAUGACGUCAAGUCAUCAUGGCCCUUACGACCAGGGCUACACACGUGCUACAAUGGCAUAUACAAAGAGAAGCGACCUCGCGAGAGCAAGCGGACCUCAUAAAGUAUGUCGUAGUCCGGAUUGGAGUCUGCAACUCGACUCCAUGAAGUCGGAAUCGCUAGUAAUCGUAGAUCAGAAUGCUACGGUGAAUACGUUCCCGGGCCUUGUACACACCGCCCGUCACACCAUGGGAGUGGGUUGCAAAAGAAGUAGGUAGCUUAACCUUCGGGAGGGCGCUUACCACUUUGUGAUUCAUGACUGGGGUGAAGUCGUAACAAGGUAACCGUAGGGGAACCUGCGGUUGGAUCACCUCCUUA